CCUACGGGAGGCAGCAGUGGGGAAUUUUGGACAAUGGGCGCAAGCCUGAUCCAGCAAUGCCGCGUGAGUGAAGAAGGCCUUCGGGUUGUAAAGCUCUUUUGUCAGGGAAGAAACGGUGAGCUCUAAUACAGUUUGCUAAUGACGGUACCUGAAGAAUAAGCACCGGCUAACUACGUGCCAGCAGCCGCGGUAAUACGUAGGGUGCAAGCGUUAAUCGGAAUUACUGGGCGUAAAGCGUGCGCAGGCGGUUUUGUAAGUCUGUCGUGAAAUCCCCGGGCUCAACCUGGGAAUGGCGAUGGAGACUGCAAGGCUAGAGUUUGGCAGAGGGGGGUAGAAUUCCACGUGUAGCAGUGAAAUGCGUAGAUAUGUGGAGGAACACCGAUGGCGAAGGCAGCCCCCUGGGUCAAAACUGACGCUCAUGCACGAAAGCGUGGGGAGCAAACAGGAUUAGAUACCCUGGUAGUCCACGCCCUAAACGAUGUCUACUAGUUGUCGGGUCUUAAUUGACUUGGUAACGCAGCUAACGCGUGAGUAGACGCCGCGGGGUACGGGUCGGUCGAGAGUUAAACGUUAAAGUUAAAGUUAGUAGGNGNGAGAGNGCGACGGACGACGACGAGGAGGAGG
rnacentral:rRNA from 1 species